rnacentral:lncRNA from 1 species
AAGGUACCGUUUGGUUCGGGUAUAAUAAAGAACUAGCUAUUACAGGAUAGGUACAAGUAUGGGGAUAAGAAAAAUAGCGUUUGAAUGAAAAUUGGGUUAUUCCCGGGGAUAAGAAAAAUAGCGUUUGAAUAGAUAAUAUGGAAUAAGAAAAAUAUUAGGUAAUUUUAUAUAGAAAAUGGAGGUGUUGGUGGGGAUAGUUAUAACUGGUUAUUAUAGGUAACCGAGAACUAUUGUUCUCGGGUAAAAAAUUAGCAUUUUGGUAUAAAGGGGGGGAUAAGGGCCUAUCCCUAUCCCUAUCCCUAUCCCCUAACCAAACACUGCCUGAAAUCCAGCCCCGUCACAUAAUUCAGGCAGGAAAUCAAAGUAAUCCCAAAAAAAAGGAAAUCAACAGUUUUCUACAGUAUUGGCCAAAACUGCAUUUCAUGCCUGAUCGCAUCAAGUUAAAUGAAAUGUGAUACACAUGGAAUCUAUUUGACCGCAGAGUCAACAUAUACAUAGUAUAACUUAAACAUACAGCAGCAUAUUCUCCCUUUCAGGAAUAGGAGAAUGAAAGAAAACCAGAUAUAAAAUUGGAAACCAACCUGAUCAAAAUUUGAGUAGAAAGGCAGUAAUUUUGGAUAGGUUUGAAGUAUUCCCCAUGAUUGUUCAACGAGGCCCCACCAACUGCAAGUUCAAUUAAAGGACCUCAAAACUGCAAAUAUUCAACUUAGUCACAAACAAAGAGUGCAUCUUAACUUGAGAAAUUAUCAUCAAGGAAUUAUAUUAUAGCAUGUAUUCCAGUUUUUACAAGCAAGUCCGGUAUCCAAAGUGCCAUGACUAUUUAUUGGCUGAAAACCCCCAAUUCUAAUUUUAGUGCCUUCUAGACUUCAAUUUAACAUUAAUUAAUCCUAAUUGUACCACAUCAGAAAGCAUCUGAUUUAACUCCCUAUGUUGAAAGUAGGUGAUAAAUGUACAACGUAAGAUUAAGUACAUGAAACAAUCUUCAUCCCCGUGCAAAGAAUGCUUGUUGGCACUUUGAGUUAAGACAAUUGACUAGGAAUUGAUACCACAUGAUGCUGGUAUCAUCAUUGUAAAAGCAUCUUAUAAGAAAAACAAAUAAACACAAAGAAACAAGGUAAAGGGAAGGUUUCUGAAAGGUAUAGGAGUUCAAUUACUAGCUCCUACUUCCUUGAGCGCUUGUUGGAGAAGGAAGUAGAAUCUAUUCAACUAGGAAAUGAUGCACUAGAAGACAAGAAAUGAAUGCCAAUUACACACACACACACACACACACACACACACAUAUGUGUAUAAUAAGGUCUCACAAGUUGUAAAAAUAUAGUAAAGGUCAAAAGGAACUAGAAGGCCUUAAAUGAGAUCAAAUAUUACAUGUAUUGAACAAAGAAAAACCAUUGCUGACUUCCUUCAAAAACCUAGUAAGCACCUCUAAACAAAAGAAUUGGGACAGCCACAUUUCUUUGUAGUGUUAAAGAGUUAAGACCAGAACGAUGCUUCCAGCAAUGUCAAGUGCAGCUGGUGCUGCAUUAUGAUGGUGUAUAAAACAAGGCCAGAGCAGUAAAAGAAUAUCAAAAUAAUUGAAAGGAAAAAGAACGAACAAAACAGAAAGAGGACAUGAGAGAGGAAGUAUCUAACAAUUAUCACCCAAAGAAGGCACCAUUACUGGUUUUAUCUCACAUGGAGGACAAGAAGAAUUCACAACCCAAAGCUCCAAUUAAUGUAUUCUCUGUUAUUGAAAGAUUCAUAGCAACAUGGUCUUCAAAGAAACUAGCAUACCCUAGUUUUCAUCUAAUGGAUAACUUAAUGAGGGGCCUCUUGGCCCUUGGUUUGCACUAGCGCAGCUCACUCCAUUGCGAGCCGCAGUAGUGCAGUCGAGCAGAGCUCUAAGUUGGACUCCAAUUCGACAUUGUUUUCUGCAUUUGUAGGCCUUAGGGCCUGCUAACAUGAAUGAUAAAACCUCCGUAAAUAGGUAGGCUGGCACUAGUGCGUGCUACUGCAGGCACAAAAGCAAGGCAAAACAGAUCCUAAAUCAGAAAAGUCGUAUAGCUGAAUAAGAGGUAUAUAAAGCUCUAAAACUGAAUUAUUUACUUAUACAUCUAAUGGUGCAAACAAAAUCACUAGGAAGCUAAUAUCAGUUAUUAAUAACUAGCUUAAGCAGAAAAUUAGCAUCAUUUUUAUGAACAAAAUUCCCAUCGGACGAAUGCAACACUUCCUAUCUGGAUUUCUCUGUUCUUGCAAAAUCUAAAAAAUCUGCACUUCUCCAAACUAAAUCAGAGAGUACAUUUACCGAUUUUGUGCAGACUGAAAGUCAGGUUCUUGCUUUGUUUCAUAUACCCAUCCAGGAGCAAAUAUAGCAGCUGAAAUAUCCUCCUUUUUCAGUAAAUCAAGGGCCACAUUUGUCUGUCAAACACAGAAAAAAGGAACAAAUGUAUGAAUAUUAUGGUGAGAGUCUGUAUAGAAUAUUUUUAGCAAUCAAUGCUAAAGAUCAAUAUACCCUUUUAUCAAACUCUGAUUUUGUGCAACUAAACUUCCACUCCUACAUAAUAUAGAGCUGAUACAAACAAUUAAGAGAUCUUCAAAGUUUGAAAUGGCGUACAUUCCAUUGCCCACCUCCAAAGGUGUUUCUGCCAAAAACAUCAAUUCCCAUGUACACAUCAAACUUCCUCUCACCAGCAACAGCAGCUGAAUACUCUGGGUACUUUUCCUGCAAGAAUCAAAUUUAUCUAAUUGAGAGAGGUGAAAAAAAAAAUAGCUUCUCAUAAGUUGGAAUAAAAACUGCUACUAACAUUCCAAGUGUAAUUGACAAAAAUGCCGUCACACAAAUCAAAAAAUGGUUUGUUCUUCCCAUUCAAUUGGUCUUGCCAAUCAAGUUGACCAUCUUUAGUCACAGCAUCAUACCUGCAUGGAAAUUAUCAGGCUAUAAUGAAUUGAUGUUUUUGAUGAUUAGAAAACAAAAUAGUUUUUUGAAAGAUCACCAUAUAACCAAAGAUCCAGGAACAUAAGAGUGCAUAGUCUCCGUUAGAUGAUGCAAAAACUCUUUCAAGUUAUCAAUUAGCUGGGAGUCCAGAUUAACCUCCAAAUUGAUCUGAAAUUCAGAAAAUUAAAUGAAUCAGCUCAAAAGGCAUAAUUAAAAACGUUAGCUAGCAUUCAAGAGUUCACAAAUGAUCCCCAUAUUUCUCUCCAGGAAUGAGUGCUGGAUCAGGCUUAAGCAGUUUAAACCCAGAUUGAAUCAAGGUCAAUUCGUAUCCAACCGACUUCUCAAAAAUACUAACCUAUCUGAUCUCAAACCCAGAAAGAUUCUAUUGAACUCGUAUAGUUUAAUCUGGUUUACAACUAGGAUCCCAAAAUAUAACUCAAUCCAGAAAAAUAGACAAAACAUCAAAACGAGCAACUGGUUACAAAUAACAGCAUAACCUUAUGUUGAAUAAAUAAACAGCUUUCCCUACAAACUAACAAAAUUUAAAACUAGAAGAACCAUAAGAUAAACAGAGGGAAACCAAGAAAUCAAACGUAUGAGGAACGAUUCCUACAAAAUGACUAUCGACUUACAUUUCCAUCAUGAAGCACAAAAAGGGAAAUCUCAAGAAUAAGGGAUAUCUACAGCUCACGACCCUUCAACUGCAUGAAAAAAAAAAAUGAGGCUUCUAGGAAGGAUCAGUGCCAAUUGGUUCGAUACAUUUUUUGACCUACAAGAAUCAACCAACCAAAAUGGUGCACAGAGAGAGAGAGAGAGAGAGAGUUAUUUCAAUCAGCAAUGGUGGCAACGAAAGCGAGUUAAGUGUGAAUCAAUGAAGUUUAUUAGGAUAGCUAAUGUAGAAGUACUAUUAGAACACAAUUCAAACUUAAAAAGGAUUACUACACAAAUUUUACCAACAACAACAGUUCUAACGUUACACUUCUAAAAGUUUUCAGCAUGGUUCAUGGUCAAUGAAUAAAGCAAAGGGGUUUCCAAGAAACUUGCACAAUCAUGAAUCUAGGGCUGGCAAAUGAGCGAGCCGGCUCGCGUUCGACUCGAUAUUUGGCUCGCUCGAGCUCGACUCGAAAUUAAAUGAGCCGAGCUUGAACAAAAAAAAAGGCUCGAAAUUCAUUUCAAGCCGAGCUUGAGUAUUACUCGGCUCGUUCGAAUUAGGCUCGAAAGUAUAGAGGAUCUGGUGCUUUCGAUUUUUUGAUUCUUAGAUCAAUCCCUUUAAUCAUUUCUUAUCUUUGAAUUAAUACUAUUAUUAUCUUGUAGGGACAACUCAAUCCUAAGGAUAUUAUUUAAUCCUAGGGGGGACCGCAAUCAUCCCAACUAGGGCUGGCAAAUGAGCGAGCCGGCUCGCGUUCGACUCGAUAUUUGGCUCGCUCGAGCUCGACUCGAAAUUAAAUGAGCCGAGCUUGAACAAAAAAAAAGGCUCGAAAUUCAUUUCAAGCCGAACUUGAGUAUUACUCGGCUCGUUCGAAUUAGGCUCGAAAUGCUCGAAAAGCUCGAAUAUAUAUAUAUAUAUAUAUAUAUAGUAGAGUUACUAUGCUAUUGAAAGUAUAGAGGAUCUGGUGCUUUCGAUUUUUUGAUUCUUAGAUCAACCCCUUUAAUCAUUUCUUAUCUUUGGAUUAAUAUUAUUAUUACCUUGUAGGGACCACUCAAUCCUAGGAGUAUUAUUUAAUUCUAGGGGGGACCGCAAUCAUCCCAACCAUAUAAUUCUUAAUCAAAGGGUCAAAAUUUUGAAAACAUCAAAUCCUCUAUAUUUUCAAUAACAUAGUAGUUCUACAAUAUAUAUAUAUAUAUAUGGCUGAGUGAAUAAUUUGAGUUUAGUUAAAAUUGGCCAAUGUUGUUGGCCCAUAAAAACAAACCCAAUAGGCAAAUAAAAGAGCAAAAUUUCACUAAAUUUAUACAUUUUCUCUUUCUUUCUUUUUUUCACAGAGCUCUAAAUUUUCAAUAUGUUUCUCUCUUUCUCUUUUUCUAUCUCUCACCCUAAGUGGUCAAGCCAGAAUCCUUCCAAGUUACCGAGUAACAGCAUAUGCCCGCCGUUGCCUACUUUGCUAUUAAUUGUAUGCUGGAGAAAAUAUACAGAAUAUUUUUAAAAUAAAAAAUUAUUAUUAUAAAAUUUUAAUUUUAGUUAUAUAUGAUUGGAUAGUUUAAUCCAAUAUUUAUCUAUAUAAUUUAUUUAUUUUUUACUGCAUAAAUGAAAAUGAAUAAUAUGGAGAUUGAAGGCGGAAGAAAAGACAUGUGAGGCUGAAAAGAUUAGAUAUUCAACUCAUAAUUUUUUUUUUUCAUAUUAUAAUACUAUAUUUCAUAUAAUUAUUUUGUACUUUGAACUAUUAGAUAUAUUUUUGUAUCAAAUUAUAGAUAAUGUUUUAUACAAAUUAAACUAUUGAUCGUAUGAUGUUGAGAAUUUCAAGCGGCUCGUUUAGGGCUCGAGCUCGCUCAACUCGAAAUUAGGCUCGCUCGAGCUCGAGCUCGAAUUAAUUUCAAUCCAAGCUUGAGCUUAAAUUUAGGCUCGAAAUUAAUUUCGAGCCGAAUUUGAGCCGAGGUAAGCUCGCUCGAGCUCGGCUCGUUUCCACCCCUAAUCCCAACCAUACAUACAAUUCGUAAUCAAAGGGUCAAAAAUUCGAAAACAUCAAAUUCUCUAUAUUUUCGAUUGCAUAGUAGUUCUACAAUAUAUAUAUAUAUAUAUAUAUAUAUAUAUAUAUAUAUAUAUAUAUUAAAAAAUAUAUAAAUAUAAUAUAUUUUAAUUAUAUAUAGGCUGAGUGAAUAAUCUGAGUUUAGUUAAAAUUGGGCCAAUGUUGUUGACCCAUAAAAACAAACCCAAUAGACAAAUAAAAAAGCAAAAUUUCACUAAAUUUAUACAUUUUUCCUUUCUUUCUUUCUUUCACAGAACUCUAAAUUUUCAAUAUGUUUCUCUCUUUCUCUUUUUCUGUCUCUCACCCUAAGCGGCCAAGCCGGAAGCCCUCCAAGUUACCAAGUAACAGCAUAUGCCUGCCGUUGCCUACCUUGCUAUUAAUUGUAUGCUUGAGAAAAUAUACAGAAUAUUUUUAAAGUAAAAAAUUAUUAUUCAUAUAAAAUUUUAAUUUUAGUUAUAUAUGAUUGGAUAGUUUAAUCCAAUAUUUAUCUAUAUAAUUUAUUUAUUUUUGACCGUAUAAAUGAAAAUGAAUAAUAUGGAAAUUGAAGGCGGAAGAGAAGACAUGUGAGGCUGAAAAGAUUAGAUAUUCAACUCAUAAAUUAUUUUUCUUCAUAUUAUAAUACUAUAUUUCAUAUAAUUAUUUUGUACUUUAAACUAUUACACAUAUGUUUGUAUCAAAUUAUAGAUAAUAUUCUAUACAAAUUAAACUAUUAAUCGUAUGAUGUUGAGAAUUUCAAGCGGCUCAUUUAGGGCUCGAGCUCGCUCGACUCGAAAUUAGGCUCGCUCGAGCUCGGCUCGAAUUAAUUUCAAUCCAAGCUUGAGCUUAAAUUUAGGCUCGAAAUUAAUUUCAAGCCGAAUUUGAGCCGAGGUAAGCUCGCUCGAGCUCGGCUCGUUUCCACCCCAUUCAUGAACCUACACUAUAAAAAGCAUUACCUAAUAUAGCAAAAUGUAAGAUUCAGUAGAAAUACCAGCCAACCAUCGAAACCCAAAGCGCUGGCAAGUUCUGCCAAUCUCUCAGCAUACAUUCGAGCAGCACUUUUUGUCGCGAGCAAUGUCUCACAGACUACCUUACCAGCAUCCCAUUCUGCGAGGAAUGUACCUAAAACCUUCAUGCAAAGGCAACACCAAAUCAAAAGGUGUCAAAGUUAAGAAAUUCUGAACGGUUCAACAUACAAGGAAAUAUGCACAAUGAUUAAAUCAACUGUGAUUUAGAAAAAGCAAUAAGAUGUCGUACAAGCUAUAGAAUAUGUCUAUCAUCCAUCCAAAAAAAUGGUGCAGAAAUAAUAGAUUACGACAAGCCAUAGGGAAACUAAAUAAGCCUUAAGCAAAGAUGUAUAGAAGACAUGACCAAACAAAUAAUUAUAAACUGCAGUCAUCUAAAAUUUCUAGAUUAAUUUACUGCAAGAAAAGGAUAUUCAUCAAAUAUAACACAAAGAAAAACCACAAAACCAAUGCGUAAAAGAAUAAUUCCAUGCUGUUUGUCAAAGGAAAAAAGUAAUAUUCAAAGAUCUUGUCAUUAUACUCUUCAAAUUAUUAGCAUCUAAACCAUGUGCGCUACGGUCAUCAAAGAAACCAUAAUUCUUGAAAAAAAAAAAUUAAAAAACCCUCUAAAUCUCGAUCUAAUAUAAGUACGCUACGGAGAUGACAAAGAUAUAGACAAAAACAGGGGAAACGAAUACCUUGACACCAUGGGUAUGCGCCGCAUUGGUCCAGCACGGUGGGGGAAGCGUAACCAAGUAAUGGGAGAAGUAGACGAACACGUCCAUGAGGUGCCAGUGCCAGAUAGCGUAGGCGUCGGCGUUGCUCCCUCCCUGCACCCACGCGUCGUCGCGGUACCCACCCUUCAUGUCGUGGCACACGAGGAUCCUCCGCCGCGGAGGGAGCGGCGCCGCCACCGCCGCCGCCGCCGCGGAGGAGGGAGGGAGGGGGGCGGAGGCCCUGUUGAAGGGGAAGUGGAAGGACUCGAAGUAGGACCGCGAUUCUAGGGCACGGAGAUCGGCGAUGGGGUAGGAGAUGGGAAGCGACGGCUCCGAGGGAUCGAAGGGGGGAUCCCACGGCCUCCGAUCGUCGUCUCGGUUGGGCUCCAGGGCGUCGGCGGAGGCCAUGGAGGAGCGGAACAGGAGGAGGAGGCGGCGGAGGAGGGGAUCGAGGAGGAGGGGAUCGAGGAGGAGGGUUUUUAGGGUUUUGAGGGUUCGGCGAGGAUUUGGGAAAAGGGGGAGACGACGAGGGAGUGGCAUAAGAGUCGUGUGAAAACAAAAAAAAAAAAAAAAAAAAAAAAAGCGCGCCACUGAGAAUCGGAUUCAUUUACUUUCUCUACCCUCUUUAAAAAAAAAGAAGAAAAAAAUAUUCCCUAUCUAAACUCUUUUUGAAGAAUAUUUUUAAUCUAGCUUUAUUUUUAUAAAAAAAUUAGAAAAAAUAAUAAUAAAAUAAUAAUUUUUAUAUAAAUUAAUAUGUUAAAUGAGUGGAGAUUAUCUUUUUUUUCUUUUCUUUAAAAUUAAGUGAAUAUAAUGUGAUUUUAUAUAUGAGCACUUAAUAAAAAAUUUAUUUAUUAUUAAUAAUAUUUAUAAAUUAUAAUUUUUUUUUUGUACUACUAGUACUUAAUUUGAUUAUACAAGUCAAUAUAAUUUAAAAGUGUUCGUAUAUAAAAUCACAUUACAUUCAAUUAAUUUAAAAAGAGAGAAAAAAAGAUAAUUUCUACCCACUUAACAUAUUAAUCUAUAUACAAAUUAUUAACUUAUCAUUUUUUUUCUAAAAUAUAAAAAUGAAGCUAGAUUGGAAAUAUUUUUCAAAAUGAGGCUAGAUAGAGAAUUUUUUUUUGUAAAGAGGCUAGACAAGUAAAUAGUUCUGAGAAUCGCGAGUUGUUAUCUAAAUUUAUUAAGAAACUAAAAUAUAAUUAAACAAAUAAAUGUGUAAAAAAAUAUAUAUAAAAAGGAGCAAAGUAUGAAUUUAGUGAUCAUCGGAAAAUUUUAUUUUUGGAUAAAUAAAUAUUUGUAUGAGUUUUGUUGCUUCAUUGAUAUCAAGUACCGAACAAAGAAAAUAAUACAAAUACGUAUACGUACGUGAAAUUGGACUAAUUGCUUGUGCGAAGGUUCUUUAAUUAAUGCAAGGUGAGGUUGUAUUUGUUAGAUUAAGUAUUAUCUUAAAAUUUUGAUACUACCGGAUCGAAUUCAAGGUGAAUUUUUGAAAAUUCAAACUCGAACCCAAUUAUCCGAGUCGGAUUUUGAAAAUCCAUAAUCAAAUUUGAGUAUGACAAAAAACAGAAAUCGAAAUGCAAAACCAAACAGAAAAUCCAUUCAAAUCAAAAUUUUUAGAGUAUAAAUUUAAAUUUUAUAUUAUAUAAUAUUAAAUAGGUUUGCCUUCGGGUUCGUGUUAGGAUUCAAGUCAGUUUUAGAUAAAACAGUACUCAAACCCGAAUCCAUCGGGUUUUUACUUUUUAUACUCAUAACUGGCUAUAUCUGUUCAACAUUGAUUAAACUUUUCGUUCGGAUUUGAAUACCCUUGGAGAGUAAUAUUAAUUUUUAAAGAUUAAUUUAUUUAAACAAAACAAAUGUGAGAAAAUAACUAAAAAUAAGAAACAACUUAAUAAAAAACAAAUCAUAUGGAAAACGGUCAAAUCGCUCAAUUGUGCACAAAUGUUAAGCAUACAUUAAAAGAAAAAAUUGCUCCAAACAAGAUCAGGAACAAAAGAUGGAACUCAUGUAUUCUGAAACGAAAGUGCAUCAAAAUGAAGUAAAGGAACUUAGGGUUCAAAAAAAUUCGCCAAGGUUCAGAUUUAGUCACUCGAGCUUGUCUGGUGAGCUUAAUGCUGUAGUUGAAAUGUAACGAUUCAGCCCACUAACAAUAAUAAUUCGUUCGGUCCAAAUCAACGACCGAAAAUACUUAAACUUGUAUUUAUUACUAGGUGUACAUGUGGUAUUCUUUUAUUUCUUGUAUAAUCCAAUCCGCUAACAACAAUAAUUUGUUGGAGCUAAACCAACGGUAAAAAAUGUUUAAGCCCAUUUAUUAUUAUUAGAAUGUGAUGCCUUAUAUAUUUCAAAUUAGUAUUUUUUGUCAUCUAAUGUAGGACUCUUGGGGUGUUAUAUAAAAACUAUAAAGCAAAUCAAGCUAAAAAUGAUUAAAAUUUGAUUAAAUGUAUAGUUAAAUUAGAAUAAAAAUUUUAAUAUGUAAUAAGUUUUUUUUUUUUUGAAAGAGAUAGGCAGCACGCUACCCGUUUCGUCACAUUUAGAAAUAAACUUAGCUGAAAAUGUGAAUCAACUAGGAUUCGAACUUGGAUCUCGAAUACCAAAUAGUAAGCCCUCUGUCACUUGCUCUAGAAAAAGUCGAUAAUAUGUAAUAAAUAUUGAAUAUAAUUUAGUUGUAUGGGUGCAUAGAAAGGUAUGGUAUACCUUGCGUGUGUGGAGCACAAGAAGAGAGAGAGGUAGGUUGUCUCGUUAGAAGUUGAGAGAAGUACGAGAGAUUCAGAAUGAGAACUCGAGUUAAAAUUAUUCGGUGCAGAAAAAGAGCCGAAUGUAAUUAUCUUUUAUUUAUUUAUUUUCUCUAUUUCUUGGUUAUCACUUCUCGUACAUGUACUUCUCUUUUGCACUCUGUAAGGUAUGAAUGGUCGAAUAUGCUUUGCAAAAUGGAUUUUAUUUUGUGAAUUAAAUAUGUAUUAGUUCAAUUUCAAGGUCAAGGGCAUUUGGUCUAGUGGUAUGAUUCUCGCUUAGGGUGCGAGAGGUCCCGAGUUCAAUUCUCGGAAUGCCCCGUCAAGGUGCGAGUUUAGUUAGUUGCUCACUCGUUUUUCUCUUUUUCUUAAAUUUUACUUGUUUCAUCAAAAGAGAAAAAAGUUUUUAAGUUUUCUCUUUUUUCCUUUUUUUUUUUUAACUUCUUCCUAAGUUUUCUCUUUAGAAAUUUGUAUUAGGGGCAUGCUUGUAUUAAGAGGAAUGAGAAAAACACUAGAUAAUAAUAAUAAAGAUUAAUUUGGAGAAAUAAGCAGGCUAAUCAGCCAUGAAAUAUUUUGUUUUUUGUAACUAUUUUCGCCUUUUGUUUUAGAUAAUUUUUAGCCAUAUAAGAGUGUAAUAAAGUACUUUGUCAACUUGUGAUUAAUGAAACAUGUUGCACCAUAAUUUAGUUUUAAUGCCAGGUUUAAUUUCUUAUAAAAAAUUAAAUUUGAAACUAUAAAAAUAAAAUAAAAUGCUGCAGUUUGAGUUACAUGAUACUAAAUUGCAAGUACACCACCAAAAGAGAAAUCUUUAAUUUGAGGCCCUUCUUGCAUGUAUCCAAUGUUAAAAUUUAUUUCCCCGGUCAAUAAUUAUUGUUUAAGAUUAAAAUUUGUUCUUAAGAAAUAGAUCAAUCUAAUUAAGCCUUAUAAUUAAGUUUUAAUUAAGUAGCUAGUAUAUAUUAUGUUAAGAAUCUUUUCAUAUGAUCACUAAUGAAUGCUUUUAACACACAUUUAUUUACUAAACACUGACACAUUAACUCACUGUGCAUGGCAACUUUUAUUUUUCCACUCUAUUAACUAUUGAAUUGUAAACAGUUGACCUUUUUUUUUUGUGUGAGAAAUAAUAUAUAAUGUGCGUAGCUCACGAUUAAAUAAUAAAAGGACUAGCUCAUAGCACGAGGCUAUGGUCAAUGCAAGGUCCCGUUAGAAAACGACAAAAAAUAUAUAUACAUACAUGAAAUCUUAAUCUUACUAAUUAAAUAUUAUUAAACAAUUAAUCCUGUUAACAGAGAUAAUUAUGUUAAUAAGUGGGUCAAAACUACAUCACUGGGGCACAUGAGACAAGGCUUAAUUAAUUACUAUGGAUACUAACCAUUUUCUAAUUAAUAUUGCAGUUUCUAACCCAUGCAUGUUUUUUGUUCGGUAGUAUGAAUUAAUGGAUAGUUCCUGUACUAAUUAACAUGAUGUUGCGACUUGGUUCCCUGUACCUAGUUAUAAACUGAAGUAACUGAGAGUGAUUAAUUAAUAAGAGAGGAAUAAAAUGCUCACUUUACCUGAAUAUUUGAUUUUCUUUUUAUGGUCAAGAACUAAUCAAAGUAUAAUAUAUAAUUAAAAUUAUAUGAAAUAUUUAAGUAAGCAAUACAAGGGCUAAUUAGUUUGCGAUGUAAAAACAGGAUUAGCCAUACACUUCAUCCUUUUUGCUUUUAUGAAAAGAGAAAAAUAAAAGGCCUAAUCUUAAAUACAUAGCUAACAAACAAUUACGUAGAGACUUAUCUAAUUAAACAAGCCAAAAAAGGGGUCUAAGUUUCUACUUGCAAAACAUCUUGGAAAUAAGAUUAAGAAAUUGAGUAACCUAUAAUUAAUCAUAGUGCCAUUGAACCUUGCCAAUGAUGAGCCCUCAAAAGAAGGAUAAUGCUACUUUUCUCCCUUAAUUAAAUUAAUUAGUAAGUAUAUAUGCCUUUUGAUUCUUCCUCAAUAGACUAGUUGUUUGUAGAUAGGUUAAGCUUUGUUUUGUAGUGCAAAUAUACUCUAAUUAAUCAUAUCCAUCUUUGGAUUGUUUCCAUAUUAUAACUUCAUUGACCCUCUCCAAUUUCAUUUCAAUCACCAUAAUGGACAAGAAUUGUCUUUAUAUAAUUAGUGUUCAUUGCUAUAUAUGAUGCAUGAAGACGUCUCCACUUCACCAUUACUUUUCUAAGAGCCUAGAUAUGUAGCAUGCAUGCAUGUGAGAGUCACGUAAUUGUAUAUGUACAACUCCUCUCGAGCGUGUGACACUUGUCAUACCUAUGCACGUGCACUUCAUUAAACUCAUAGGUUCACACACACACACACGCACACGCACAUGCAUAUUUAUAUAUCUUAAUACCAAUGUUUUUUUUUUUUUUUUUUUUAGAGAUAGAUAACACGCUAUCCGUUUCGUUUAUUUUAUUUAGAAAUAAAUUUAGCUGGAAAUAUGAAUCAACUAGGAUUCGAGCUUGGGUCUCAGGUAUACCAACCACCAAGCUCUUUGUCACUUGCUCUAGGGACAGUCGGUAUACGCACCAAUGUAAACACAUAUGCGUGGGUGCAAAACAGUAUGAAACUCUUUUAACUUUUCUUUUGUUCAUCAAGGGGAAAAAUGGUCUUUAAUUACGANGUGGAUCGUUGAUUUGAACGCCCUAUGAUCGAAAACCAACACUAUAGUACCGGAGCUCGGUACUAUAUAUAGAUAUAUAGUAGCCUAGCUUUAUAUAUAUAUAUAUAUAUACCACUAAAAAAGCAUCUUUAUUCAAUAAUUUCGCAUAAUUUUACAUGUUUAAAAUGCUCUAAUUACAUGUCAGAUUUAUUCAUAACAAUACCUUAUAUAUUUAUGCUAUGAAGCAAUUAUUUUUCAUACAAGAUAUAGGAGAAGGAUGCUUUUAUCAUACAAGGUCAACACUCUCCGAGCAUGUGUGUAGAUUCUAAUCAUAGUUCCACAGUUCCACUAUCAUGUGGUUUGGAAUAUAUAUAUAGACAAAAACAAAGUCUACGAAAAUUCAAACUCGAAACCCCCGCCUUAAUUACUACCGUAUGAUUGUAUAAAACAAUCAUUUUGAUCGUUGCGAAUUUAACUCACUAAAGAAGAAUGCUCAGUCCUUCAUAUAUACUUUUUUUUCCCUUGUGUGUACAUGUCUUUUUCUAGUAGCUAGUGGAGAAGUGGAGUGAAUACGGGUGGGUAAAGCAUCUUAAAGUUUGAUCAAGGGAUCAAUUGACAAAUUAAUUGGGAAUCUCCAUAUGCAACAAUAUAUAUAUAUAUAUAUAUAUAUAUAUACACACACACAGCACCAAUUAAAAGGCAGGCUACUCAGGACUUACGCAAACUAACCUCUUCUGCGAAAGAAACUCCAAGGCAUGCAAAACCAAUGAAUACAAGUACUCUACUUUCCGGCUGUACACUUGGACCGAUCCUUGGAGAAGCAGUGCAGCUGCACCAAGAUCACCCACAUGAUGCAAGAAACAAUCACCGAAAAAUAUAAAAAAAAUCAUGCAAACAAAAAAAGACAAAUUGCAAAUAUGUACCAAUACCCCCUCCACAAUAGGCCAAUUUGAAAUUGUUUUGUUUCGUUAUGUUAUUGAAAGGGAUUUGUUAGCGCUGCGCUUGAAAAAGUGUCCGAAACAGUUAAAUUGGUCGCAAGGACCAUUAAACAUACAAAAUCAACAAUUUAAGCAGUAGAAACAACUCAAAUCAAAAGAAUCUAAAUUUGACGGGGUUAUGAACCAAAAGGGGUUUAUUUCAAAAUGGUCUAUGAUCAGGGUUUUCCAAUACAACUUUACCUUUAAAAAAAAAAAAGAAGAAAAAAGAACAAACUGAAAGAGAGAGAGAUACGAGAUCGAACCUUCGGCGAAGUUGACGGAGUGGAGUGCGUGGUCUUGGUCGUCGGCGGCGGAGAUCUCCCCGGAGCAGAUCCUAAGGAGGUACUCCUCGAGAUUCGCGGCGAGAUCGACCUCCCAAUUGGAUUGGGGAUCGCGGUUGGGUUGGAGGAGGUGGAACCGCGAUGCACCGCCGCCGCCGCCGCCGCCGCCGCUGGGCCCUGCGAGCUCCUCUUGGUCGCUCAUCUCCGAGGCUACGAGAGACCCGUUUGAGCGCGGCACCUCGGCAGAUCCAUGAGAAACCCUAGCAAACGUGGGGAGGGGAUUUGGCGGAGGUGUUCGAUGGAGUGGUUCUCGGUGACUGAGUUAGGGUUUCUAGGGUUUCAAGGGGAAUGGGGGAAGAGAGAGAGAGAGAGAGAGAGAGAGAGAGAGAGANUACGUGUACAUGUAUAUUUAUGUUUUAUAUAUAUAUAUAUAUAUACUUGAAUCAAACUUUUGGCAAAUGGCCAUCAAACGCGUGGAAUCGAUCCCCACGUGGAGGUUAAGAUAUAUUACUUUGGAGAGAAUAGGUAGCCAAACGCCAUUCCACAACUCUGGUUUGAGCCCAUGCAUGGCACCGACCCAUUUGAGGAUUAAUUAAGAAAAUGAGUUAGUUGGUUUAAGAAGCAAAGGUACAUAGUCUCUUAUUUACUCCAUGUCUCACACACUCACAUGCUAGUGCUGACCCUCAACUACUACUUAGAAUUAUCUCUUAUUUAAUAAUCCCCCUCUCUCUCUCUCUCUCUCUCUCUCUCUCUCUCUCUCUCUCUCUCUCAUGAGCUCAUUCUUAAACAAACAUGUUUUAAUAAAUGUACCAUAUUCAACAAAUAAUCGCAGGCUCCCGAGACAUUUUAAUAGUCAUAAGACAUGGACUUGGAUCAAGCAGAAUGAGAUCAAAUAAAACCUAGAAGCCUUGAAAGAUUUGCAUUGGCAUCCUUUUACUUUGAUAUUAUGAUCGCGCGUUCUUUGUUUAAAAAUUUAAGUUUAACAUUUUAUGUUCUAAACUUCCAUAAGGUAAAAGAGAACAAACAACUACUACAAGAAAAAAGAGAGUUGCAUCCUAGAUUUGUGGUUGAAUUUCAUGUGGUAUUCUCUUCAUUAAUUAUAUGCGCCCUCUCUUUUUCUUCAUAAGUUUUCAUCAUGCUCUCUCUCUCUCUCUCAUUACCAAAUUGACAAGGUAUAUAGAGGAGAACAUGACCAUCUAACCAUCCAAAAAUGAACUUGAUAACAGCAAAAGGCCAAGGGUACAAAGGCCAUGCAUGGCUACAAUUAAUUAAGCUCAAAAAGCACUAUGUCCAAAGAGACUCUCUCUUAAGAGGCUCCUGAGUAGCUACAUUGUUGCUAGGAGAGGCAAAGUUCAUCAAAGAGGGCAUGCCACUAAUCAUAUUGCUAUUGUGCAUAAGAUAAUUCGACUUAUCAUCGCUGUCUAUCUGCUGCUGAUGAUCAGCCAUCAAGGGUGGCUCCUGCUGCAUUUGAAUACAAAGGAUCUCCGCUUGCGCCACCGCGAGCUGCAUCUGCAGCUGAGAGACUUGGUUUUGUAGGUACGAGAUCGCCCCCACGCACCCGUAUACCGGGUCCCUCAUCCUUGCAUUCGCCUCGUAGACUAAGCUGUUCACUGCAUCUGCUCUCUGGUGCACUGGAAGUUCCUAUAGCAAGUUAGACAAAAGAUGAUCAAAAGGACUAUUAAUAUACUUAGCUAGCAUUACAAGAUGGAUCUUGACUUGAAGAGAGGACUACAAAUGCCUAAUCUAAAAUCAUAUAUAGAUUCGAGCUCUCUCUUGAUAUGAAAAGACGAUAGCGAUGGGAUGAUGUGGUGAACCUGCAACAUCUUGCUAACAUUGCUUGCACCGAAGACCUUGUGGACGAUUGCGAACUUGUGCGGGUCUUCCGAAGGGAAGAAAGGGGCAAAGAUGCAAUCCUUUGUGCAUCGCCUCCGAAGGAGCUUGCAAGAGGCGCAAGGCGAGUUGCCACCCAUCACGAAUAUUAGAUCGACCGACAGAUUAAAUCUUUUCUAGCUAGGGGUGCAAAUUAAUGGAGAAAGGUUUAAGGAGUGGAGCUUGGCAAGAGACAAUUAAGCUACUUCACAAAGUAGAAGCUGAGGAUAGAUGAGGAUGGGUGUGGCCUAUUUAUAAUGUGGGCUUUUGUGCAGGUAGUUGGGUCUGAAAAUUAGAAAAGAACAGAAGCAAUAAAAAUUCUUAGCUUUUCAAGAGAUACCCAAGUAACCAAGCUUGUCACUGACUAUUACAAACCCUAGCAUAGUAGUCAUAAAAGAUAUAUAGGAACAAGUAUGUUUAUUGCCAAGGACAUAAAUUUCACCAUUAAUUAGGAAUCUUAGUUCUAACUCAACCAAUGAGUCAAGGAGCAUUAAAUUAUAUUUGAGAAUAUGCUACAGUGUUUGUGCGUGUCUGCAAAGCAUGUGUACAUGUGAUGCCUUACAUAUUAAGUACACAUUGCGUCCACUCUAUAUACUAUAUGCACUUAAAGUAAAAUACGUAAAAUACCAUUUCUCAAAACAAAACAAAAAAAAAAAAUCAAAUGAACUACAUAGAUUUGAGACUUAAAUUAAGUACAGAGACAGCAUAGAGUGCACACAAGUCACAUGAACCAAAAAAAUUUGAUUAGUACAUGAAUUAUAUUACUAUUACUUCUCUUUAGAAAGUUCAAUAAUGCGCUAGAUUAUCACUAUAGGUUCAAAAAAUGUCCUGAUCCUUAGGAGCUAUAGAUAUAUUGUGGGUGAAUACUAUUAAAAUUCUCAAAAUUAUGGUUUGUGCAUGCAUACCUUAAGUUACAGGGUUGGAAACUUAGUUUGUGAACAAAUGAAAAGUUGCUAAUAUUAUUUCCUUUUAUUACUUAAAAAAGAAUAAACAAUAGCUAAGGAGAUAAACCUACAAUUCCUUCCUACCAUGAUAUAUAUUGGAUUUGAAAGGACAUUAAUUUUAAGCUCAUUUUCGUCGCGGAACCGACACGGUAAAGAAAAAUGUGCUGGUCCCACAAAGAGCAUUUAUUAUGCAAAUAAUUUGUUAUAACAACAACAAAGCAACUAGAUUCCCUUUCUUGUUUAUUUUAACAUCAUGUGCACUGCACGAGAUUAAGUAUAUAUUAGGAACUAACCUAAGAAGCCAUAGUCGUCGACAUUUGGCACAGUACGUACCAUGUAAUUUCCUAAGUAUCAAUUAAUCAGAAGGUCUAAUCACACCGAGGUUAUGUGUGGUUAAUUGGGAAGAGUUAAUUAAUUACAUACCAAUCUUAAAAUUAAUUAAUAUUAGAAUGUAAUUUUCUUACGUUGAUGUUUCUGAUUUUUAUCAUUCCCUUUGAUUAAAACAAUUACGCUUCUAUUCAUAAAUUACAUCGCUCUUUUCAUGAUUGCAAACAGUUUAUAAGGUACUAAUUUUAAAAAGUAAUUAAUACACGAAAUGUGUCGAUCACCCCGGCCGCCAUUUAGGCAAUUGAGCUCUCUUCCGAAGAAAAAGUUCUACAACGAUUUACUUACGUGAUGUUUAUGAUUUUUUUUUUCGUUUGCUUUGAUUAGAAAAAUUAUCAUUCUAUCUCUUUUGGUGAAUUAUAUUAACUGCCCAAUUAAUGAUGUAGAAUAAUGUGUAAUAUAUAUAUAUAUAUAUAGAGUCCGGCUAUUAUACUCUUAUGAAUACGAUCGUCCUCGUAUUCAUAAGUCGUUUUUAAUAAUAGAGCUUCAAAAUCGACGAUACAUACUUCCGGCUAUUAUACUCUUAUGAAUACGAUCGCCCUCGUACUCAUAAAUCGUUUUUGAUGAUAGAGCUUUUGAAUCGACAACACAUAUCAAAUAUUAUCUAAAGCAUUUAAAUCUUCUAGAAAUUAAAUUUUAUCAUUUUUUCACAUUAUUUACCUUACGAUCAAAAUGCGACAAAAUUGACAAAUUUUAAAGUUUAACAGUGGUAAAUAAUUAGAAUAUGUUGAAUUUGUGAUAGAAUAUAUAUUCUAUUCACUAGAUAAAUAUCAAUAACUCCGAUCUGAAGGAUCCAAUCAUUCAUUUUUAGGACGUCAUUCGAUUUUGACCGUCCAUUUUAUACUCGUUUGAUAGAUUUUAUUAUAAUUUUAAAAGUUACGAAAUUUAUUUUUUAGAAGUUUCAAAUACUUUAAAUUAUAUUUAAUAUAGUGGAUUGUCGAUUCGGAAGCUUUAUCAUCAAAAAUAAUUUAUUAGUACGAAAGACUCUAUACUUAUCAAGAGUACAGUAAUCCUACUCUCAAUAUAUAUAUUCCCCCCAUUAAUUACAUAGCAAUUGAUGUGGUUUCCACGUUGUGGUUUUGACCAAGUCGUUUGGAGAUUCCCCUUAUCUCCUCUCACGUAGAUAGAGAGAUGAGCUAAUUAAUGAAGGGGGAGGAGGAGGAGGUUGUGGGUGUAGAAACGAUGCAACCAAAAACAANAGUAUGUAAUUUUCUUACGUUGAUGUUUCUGAUUUUUAUCAUUCCCUUUGAUUAAAACAAUUACGCUUCUAUUCAUAAAUUACAUCGCUCUUUUCAUGAUUGCAAACAGUUUAUAAGGUACUAAUUUUAAAAGUAAUUAAUACACGAAAUGUGUCGAUCACCCCGGCCGCCAUUUAGGCAAUUGAGCUCUCUUCCGAAGAAAAAGUUCUACAAUACAACGAUUACUUACGCGAUGUUUAUGAUAUUUUUUUUUCGUUUGCUUUGAUUAGAAAAAUUAUCAUUCUAUCUCUUUUGGUGAAUUAUAUUAACUGCCCAAUUAAUGAUGUAGAAUAAUGUGUAGUCCGGCUAUUAUACUCUUAUGAAUACAAUCGUCUUCGUAUUCAUAAGUCGUUUUUAAUAAUAGAGCUUUAGAAUCGACGAUACAUACUUUCGGCUACUAUACACUUAUGAAUACGAUCGCCCUCGUACUUAUAAGUCGUUUUCGAUGAUAGAGCUUCCAAAUCGACGACAAAUAUCAAAUAUUAUCUAGAGCUUUUAAACCUUCUAGAAAUUAAAUUUUAUCAUUUUUCCACAUUAUUUACCUUACGAUCAAAAUGUGACAAAAUUGACAAAUUUUAAAGUUUAACAGUGGUAAAGAAUUAGAAUAUGUUGAAUUUUUGAUAGAAUAUAUAUUCUAUUCACUAUCUAGAUAAAUAUCAAUAACUCUGAUCUGAAGGAUCCAAUCAUUCACUUUUAGGACGUCAUUCGAUUUUGACCGUCCAUUUUAUGCCCGUUUGAUAGAUUUUAUUAUAAUUUUAAAAAUUACGAAAUUUAUUUUUUAGAAGUUUUAAAUAUUUUAAAUUAUAUUUAAUAGAGUGGAUCGUCGAUUCAGAAGCUUUAUCAUCUAAAAUAAUUUAUUAGUAUGAAAGACUCUAUACUUAUCAAGAGUAAGAGUACAGUAACCCUGCUCUCAAUAUAUAUAUAUUCCCCCCCCCCAUUAAUUACAUAGCAAUUGAUGUGGUUUCCACGUUGUGGUUUUGACUAAGUCGUUUGGAGAUUCCCCUUAUCUCCUCUCACGUAGAUAGAGAGAUGAGCUAAUUAAUGAAGGGGGAGGAGGAGGUUGUGGGUGUAGAAACGAUGCAACCAAAAACAAUCCUUAAAAAAAAAAAAAACCCUAACCCUAGAGAGAGAGAGAGAGAGAGAGAGAGAGAGAGAAGGGCUCGACGUGAAUGUUUGUUGACAGACAUUCACGUGGGCACGUCUCGGGUCCUCUCACUCUCUCCCUCUACGUCGAGUAAUUUGAGUGCACAACAAACUAUGCAUCCCAUCCUUUAAAUUUACUCUUUCAGAUGAAUCAUUGAGUCUCUACAACGGAGACCCCACAUCUAUUAAAAAAAAAAAAAAAACACUAUUUUGAAGAUGCGAGCGAAAACAAAUAAUAGCAUGCAUGCUGAUUUUAUAUAUAUAUAUAUAUAGUUAAUGAUGCUUAAAAGCUUCCCAGACUCCUAAUAUAGUAUAGUUUUAUAUUUGAAAGUAUCGGUUAAAAUGUCGAUAAAUAAAGAGUUGUCACGUAUAUACCGACGCAACCGACACUUUAAAUCAUUAGAAAAUUAAAAAUUCUAAUACUUUAAAACGUCAAAAAAUUAAAAAUAAUAGUAAAAUAUAUUAUUUAAUAAAUUAAUCUGGUGUAGUAGAGGCUUCCUAUAACAACGCUUUUGAAAACGUUAGCUUCAAGCGCCAUCUUAAAAGUGUUCUUAUAUUGAAAUUUCUUUUGUAUAAUGAAUGUAAAUCGUAUCAUGUCCGAACAAUUAGAAAAAAUAAUAGAUGAAUAAGAAGAAAUUUUUAGAGCUAGUUUUGAUAUCAUAUUAUCAUGUUACUUAAAAAAAAAAAAAAAAGCUGGAAUGGGAAAAAGAAAGAAUUUGAACCAACCCAAAAGAGCUUGGUAUCUACAUACUAGUCGAGCCUAGUGGUCCACAAAAGCUUGACUAGCCAAUCAAAUAAUAAUUAAUUAUAUAUUAUACGUACACUAUUUUGUAUUUUUUUAAAAAAAUAAUUUUGAGUAUAGAAGAAGAUGCCGACACAUUGAUCAACUAAUUAUAAAUUUAUUCAAACUCUAUAUAGAAUCAAAGGAUCUUUCUAUUACACGCCACCCCAAUUCACUAUACACAUUAAAGAUUAAUAAAAAAACAAUCAAUUAACAAACAAACACAAACACACACACACACACACACACACACACACAUAACGGUUAGACAUCUUGCAAGCUAUGCCCUCCUAGGGUUUGAUUAACAAGUCCUUUCGCAGAAUCAAAUUGAGGGGGCCUCUUAAUGAGACCUGACACCAAAUUAACUCAUGGAGAAUAUUAUAAAACAAACUCAUUGCUACAGAGAGAGAGAGAGAGAGAGAGAGAGAGAGAGAGAGAUACACUAAACAAAAAACAAAUAAUGGUUGUUGAAGCCACAAGCUUCUACUAGUAUCCAAAGCCCUAUGCCCACCACCCAUGCAUUUAAUGUGCUCACAUGACAAGCUUCAAAGACACCACUCUCUCCUCUCCCUUGUGUUCCAAUCAAGUACUGCUUCUGCUUCUCACCAAUUUGCUAGCUAAGUUGUCAUGUUUCUUUAUUUCUUAAUUUCUUUUUUUUUUUAGAUUAUGUAUAGCCCUUUGAUGAGUUGUACUUUAAAUAUUGUAUGGAGAUCACUCAACUGUAGAACAUUUUGAAGUAGCUAGGUUCCGAGACUUUUUUAAGCUCUAUCGACAGGCUCACCACCGCUGCUUUAAUUUAUUUUGACUUGUUUAUUAGCUGAAAGGAGUGUAGAUUUUGUUAAUAAUUAACAAUUAAUCAAGUGUUGAUUUUAAAUUCAACUGAAGCGUUGAUUUUGACGAAAUCGUGAAUUCAAAUUACUCAAGAGGAUCCAAUGAAAAGCAAAUAGAAGUUCAUAAGACAAUCUCAAAAAGGUCUACAGUUGUAGGGGACACCUAUAUAUUUCCACCAAAUUGAGAUUAAACAUAGUUUUGAGUGUUGGAAAUUAACCCUAUCAUGUUUUCUUCCAAAGCUGGCACCUGCAACGUAUAUAGCAGCUCUAAGCACUAGGGGGGAGAGAGAGACAUUGAGAGAGAGAGAGAGAGAGAGAGAGAGAGAGAGAGGGGGGGUAGGAGAGAAACAGACAUCUUAGAUGUCUUGCUUAAUGAGAGGGGGAAGUAAAAACAAAAAGAAAAACAUGCGAGCUCCAAUGCAACACAAUAAAUGCAUGGGUUGCAUGGAGAUUCGUUUUGCAUGAACCGAGCUACCCAUUAUUAUUAUUAUUAUUAUUAUUAUUAUUAUUUUAUAUAUUUUUAGAGAGAGAUAUUUAACAGUGCUUUUAAGCUAAAUAUAAAAAAGUUUGGAGAGAUAGGAAUCACGAUGGGAAAAUACAUUAGAAAAGAGAUUUUUUUUUUUACUCUUGAAAGCAUUCGUGAGAAAAAAGAUUUUGUUUUUCUAAAAAAAUUUGAAAAACGAAAAAACAAAUAUAAAAAAAUAAUUUUGAAUAUAAAAAAGUUCUAUUCUUAAAUUUUAAAGAUCAUUCAAUUUCAACCAUUUACUUUGACAUGAUUUACUUACUAAAUAAACAAUUAAUUUUUAUUCCUAAGAAUUUCAUAUUAUCCUAAAUUAUAUUUAAUAGUGCGGAUUAUUAAUUUGAACAUCUUAAGAUUGAAAACAAAAUUAUAAUACCGAAGCUCCGAUACAAUAAAUAUAUAUAUUAUCAUUAUAAAUAUAUAAUUAAAUUAUAUCGUAAAUGAAUUUUUUUUAUCAAAUUUUCUCAAGUUAUAAUACAAAAUGAUCUAUUCAUCCCUCACAAUAGUUAAUCCUUAUAUAAUUUAUAACCUUUGGUUUAAGUUCUGUUAUUUAGGAUAGUUUUCUUAUUUGAAGCAAAAUAUUACAAAUAAAAGUAAUCAAAGUAAUUAAACUAUAAGAAUACAAAUAUAAACUAAUUAAAAGUAUUGCAAUACAAAUCAAAAGUAAAAUAAAGAAUUACUAAACUACACCUAAAAUGAUAAAUAAAAAGAUUUAAAAGUAAUUAAAGUAAACUAUAAAAAUUACGAAAAUAAAAUAAACAGAUAUUAACAUAAAUCGAAGUUAAAAUAAAAAACUAUGGAAUAUUUAAAAUAACACAGAGAUCUAAAAUAAACCUAACAAACAGUAUCUAAUUCUUCAAGCCGUAACUACAUAAAUAAAAUAAAAAUAAACUACAUGGAAUAAAAUAAAAACAUACUAAAUUAGUAAAAAUGAAGACAUUGAAAUAAUUAAACUAAACUAGAAAAAUACAAAUAAUAAAUACAUACUAUCAAGCAUAACAAAUGUAACAAUAAUUAAAGAGGUAGAAGGGAUGAAACGGGUAUUAAUAUACUUUGGGUGGAAUAUUCGUAAUAUAGAUAAUUUUGAUCAUUUGACAAAAUCUAAUUAAUUGGCAUUUUUUAUAUUAAUAAUUUUUGGAGAAUUUUUAUGUAAUUAGAGGUUGACAAAAGAGCACCCAUGAAAUUAAUUCUUUUAAAUAAUUCAAAAAUUUUUUACCUUGAUUUAACAACAAAAAUACCCUAAAUCUGAGCCGUCGAAGCACCUCAGAUUCCAGUCAUUGGAUGGGAUAGGAAAAAAUUCGUCACUGUAACGGUUCCACAUAAAGAACUAAAUAAAAUAUAAUAUAACAGUUUUAUUUUAAAAUGAUGUUUUAAAAAUAAUUAAGAAUAUAUUCUAAAAAAAUGAGAAAAAAAUGUAUUAAAUAUUUUUAAUUUUAUGUGAAAUAACAGUAAUAAGGGAAAUUUUCUCAAUACAAACUGAGGCCAAGAUGAUACCAUAGGCCGAGUUCUGAACAGCACUAAAAUCAAAUCUUAUCUGAUCUAUUGAUGUUCAAGGCAGGGUAAAGAGUCAAGUAUACUAUGGCUAAACUACUUGGAAAAAAAAAGAAGAAAAAAAAAAAGCUCUUACACUAUUUUAGCUUGUAAACAAUCACAAUUCAAAUAGGACCCAAAAAGUUGUGUGUUAAACUUCGAUUAAAGCAUACCGACAUAAGACUCUAAAUUACAACUUAAUUAGCUAAAUCAAAAACUACGUAAAUUUUUUCUUUAACUAAAGUCACUAAAAUAGAAACGUACUACGCAAUUUGUUCAAUUUUUAUUAUUCUAGUAUCUGAUAUAAGACAAAAUUAAUUUGUGUAAAAUUUUGCAUACUAGUAAUCCUUUCACAUUUCUAAACUUAUUAAAGACAAUAAUAAAAUAUCGCAAAUUCUUUCUUCUUUUUGUUUUUCCCCCUUACUGUGUAUGUGCUGUAAGGCCACGUUGCCUACUUCGAUUCACCAGUUAAGAUGAGGUAAAGCAAAUGCGUUUACGCGUAUCUCACUCAUAAUUUUUGUCAAUUGGUGAAAAGAAAUGCUGAUGCUACAAUCACUUCACCCAUUCCCGAGAGGAAAAUAAGUUUUACAUUUAUAUAAAAAUAAUGUUUGGAACAUAUUGAGCCAUUCACCUUCUGCAUGUAAUAUCGAUAGAGAAAACACAUGAAAACCAAUUUUAAGUGACAUAUUAAAACAGGAAGAUUGUUCAUACAUUCUCUCUGUGUUGCUAUUGUUACAAUCGAUUUUGUUACCCCUCGUAUCUGACCACAUAAGGUAAUUAAUAUCAGUAAAACAACACCCACAAUCUACUGGUUUUGCAGAUCAGAGUAUUAAAGAAUAUUUAAGUUUAUCACUAGGAAACAAUAACUAGCAAUUCUUUUUAAAGUUCAUAUCGAGGAGAAACUACUAUCAGUAAUCCACUAUUCAUGACAAGAAAAAAUAUGGAGGCGAAAAUAGUCGUAAUGACACUAUAUAAAAUAUAGUAACUAAAGAUUACUAUAUAAACACACAAUCCCAACUUGUAAAAUGACAUUACAUUUUAUUAAAGAACCACGUCAAAAACCAGGAAGCGUGGAGAUCAGAGUCGAUAAGAACUAAACCCAGACCACGACCGAAACAGACUGAAGCGUAGGGCUCAAACGGGAAUAGGAUCGAGAUUGGUUAAGGAUCCGAGCGAGUCUUGACUCGUGACAUGUCAACUGGCCACAAAAAUUGUCCAAAGACAGCUAAGGCCUCAAGAAAGGCAAAAAAUCAAAGGGAAAAUAUACGGAGACAUUUUUGAUGCUCCUACGUAACAAGUCAUUAGCACCUUCAGUGAUGAAACUCGAUUUAUGCUAUUUUGAAUAAAAAAUAUUCGAAGUCAUAGAAGUUAGACAAUAAAUAUAUAAAUUUCCAAAUCUUUACAUACAUUUUUAUACUCACCAACACACAAAUAAUGACUAGCAUUAGUACAGAUAAGAAAGUGCAGGCUACAGAAAUUGAAAAAAAAAAACGUACAUACAUUUUCUAAAUUAUAGACGACUUCGAAUCGUUGAUCAAUUCUUCCAAAAUUUAAAUUUUACUAUCCAUCAUUUCAAUUAAUUUUACUAAAUUUUAAAUCAAUUACUUUGAUAAAUUUAUAAUUACAAAUUAUUAUAUAAAAUACACUAAAAUUGUAAAAAUAAACAACAUUCCAUUGACGGCCCAAAUCAAGCAAAUUGAAAAUUUUGAUUGUAAAAUCAAAAUUAAAAAAAUUUAAUAGUCAUUUUAAAAUAAUAUAUAGUUCAGAUAAAUUUUGUAUGUUUUUACUUAAAAAAAAUAUAUAUCACAGAGGUGGAGGUCCCCCAGUGAGUAAAUAUGCUUGCUGAAAGAGCAGCUCUCACCAGAAAUGAGAACAAGCAGACAAUAUGUUGCCUCCACAGCAACAUAACUCCAAUUUACUAUGCUAAGUAUAUGGUUCUAAGAAUUCAAAAAUAAUUUAAGUUGCAAUUACCUUUGGUGCUCAAUCACACGACAAAAAUCGAAAAUAAGGUAAGACAUUCCAUAUGCAACCACCACGUCGAAUACUCCCAACAUAAUCUCUCCCCACACUUCCAUUGCGGUUCAAUGCAGUCAGCCACAUCGGAAGACCUUGCUGGGGAUGCAUUCUUCAAAUCCGACCGCUUUUCUCAAAGCACAUUAAAACUGAGCUCUAUGGCUCUAUGAAAUGACAGUAAAAAUUUCCAUUGAAAAACCAGCGGGUUCCAUUGAAGAACCGGCUAGAUGCUUCACAGGUUACCACUCUUACUUCAUAGCAUCAGAGAAGCAAAGAUCUAACAUAGUCCCAAGUUUUCGUUGGACGUUAAAAAAGUUUAUAACGGUUUGCAGCACUUUUCAAUUUCAAUUAAGCUCUGAAGCAAGCAAAGCAGUCAGGCGCAUAAAUUAAGUUCUUCCAUGUUGCGACGAGAAAAAUUUUCAACUUAAUCAUUAGACAGGCGCACAAGCUACCGGCAAGAACACAUACUAAUGUGCUUAGAUAUCCCACUGCACCUCUAACGAAGGAUGCGGAAGAGGAAGUGACACAAGCAUCAUCAGGACAUUAGAUGACUGCUACCAGAUUAGUACCUUUUCUGCAAAUCCUAAUGGAUCUAGUAGACAUCUCCGACAAUCUCCUCCAAUCCAUAGACAUUGGGAUAUAGCGUUGUCAUGAUUGUGUACAAUGCUCAACUUGGAGGAAAGCUAGGAAUAGUUGAUACAGCAUAAAGCUAUUUAGCACUAACCCGAAUGCGUCUGCAGCUAGGUGAACUUUUUAGGUACGUGAAUUGAAGGACUACCAAAAAGUUAUGAAGACCAAACGUUUGGUUGACCAAGGAAAAAGAGAUUAGAUAAAGAAGAGGGGGGAGAGAGACCCACCUGAAUAUGUAGGUGCUCCGAAAUUUUCAGUCCUCGAAGGAAGCAUCUCCAUUCAAGAAGGAUGAUUUAGGUUUUGAUAAUUAGGUAAGUCCGCUUGUGGCGCCUACGUCUUCUUUUUGAGCCAGAUAAGGCUUCAAGAUAUUAAAAGUCCAUUGAAUGGAAUAUCAUGGAGGCAUGGAUUAACAUAAACACACAAUCAAAGAAAAACAGUAAGCAACACUUGAUAAAUAAAAAUAAACAAAAGCACAAAAUCGUGAUUAAAGCAAGACUAUGUAUUCAUGCAGAAGAGUUAAAAAAUACCACCUAAACAGAUUAAUGGUGACAGGGAAACUAAUGAUUGUAAAUAUCAAAAUAGAGUAGCACUCACCUGAAAAUCUCAAACCUACCAGCAAAUUUUCGCAGAUUAUAUCCACUUGCCUCUAGAAAAAAACAUUCACACAACUUUUAAUUAAUUUAUGGUCAAAUAGAAAACUGCCGCCCAUCCAGAUUUUCUUCAGAUAAUAAGAUAGAAAAAGCCUAAGGGAGAAUAAAGUCCACCUACCUUAGGCUCCUUUGUAUGAGUGAAUAGGUAAUAGAAACAGUUUCUCACAGAUCACAUUCUCAGUACAUUUUUAACUGAUUCUCUUCUUCAGUAUGGUCGAGAGCGGAAACCACCGCCGCGGUUCCUGUCAGGCCCCGCACCUCCACCAUCACGGAAAUUGUCCCUGCGCCUGUCACCACCACCACCAUACCCACCACCUCUGCCACCCCUGCUCCAUAAGAUACAUUAAAAGAAUAUAAUGAAAAUUAGAAUGAAAAUGUGUAAGGAGCAAAUAUCUUCAACCAUUUGUUAUGAAUAAGAACCGCUAUCUCAAAAUGUAGCAAACCAACUAACACUUUUGACAACAAAAUGCAAAAAAAGAGGAAGGGAAAAUACGUUCUACAUUGGCAAAGUCAUCAAUAGCCCGCAGAUAGUAUCAAAAGGCAUUAGCAUCAAUGCAAAUACCAAACCAAUACAAAUACCAAACAAUUAAAAGUAGAUCAUCAUCUUGGUUCUUUCCCAGUCUAAAACAAUCUGUUUAUCUGCAUAUGUCGACAAGAAGAGCUAAUACAGUACUUGCAACGACAAAUGGGAACAAAGGGAGUACAACUUAUUUCUACAAAUUAUUAUAGAAUAUCAAAAAAAUUUCAAAAGCUCCAAAAAUAAUCUCAUAGCUUCAAUCACAAAAGAAACAGUAUCAAUCAUGGAAAGAAAAUUACAUUACAACAUUUUCUUUUAGCCUCUUACUUAAACAAUUAUACCAAACGCACUUCUUUAAUUUCUCUAUUCUAAAUUUCUAGUAUUAUCGAUCUAGAACAAUUUUACCUUUCAGUGUAGUUCACCGCAAACAAAUUACAUUAUUUUCCUUCAUAGUUCAUUAGGUUCCCUUGUAAAUAGUUUAUUCCAAAUUGUCAUCCAAAUACAAUUUCCCGAACAAGUUCACUAUCUAGAAGGCUACAAGAAUCAUACAAAUGCAUCUGCUUAACCACUACAUUGGGAAGAUACAGAAACCCUAAGUAAAACAUGGCCAACGACCUAAAAGUAUUAGUUAUGCAAGAAUAUUUUAAUAAAUCCAGAUGAUGAAAAUAUUUCCAUUUCUCUAGAAAUCGCAGGAAACAAUUAAACACCAAAAAAAAUGGUUUAUUCAGAUAUCCAAACAAUGAAAAAACUAGUGAUCAAGAUAUUCACCCUAAAUAUUUAUAGUUCUCAACGAAGAACUCAUGUAAAAUUCUAUCUUACUUGUCCACCCUUUUCAUUCUUCUUCCACCGAUUUGGAGACCUGAAGAAGAGGGAACUUACCUAGUAUGCUGCAGUUUAUGACAUCUAGUACCUCCAAUUGAAUCAUAUCAAACGAACAACAAAAAACUACAGUUGAAAAUUGCAGAAUUAUAACAUCUAGUACCUCAAAACAAAUAAUAAGAAAACAGAAAGAAAAUACAAGCAACUUGUCAACAGCUAAACAGACAUUCUAUAAGCACCCAAGUAUUUGUACAUAUAGGUAAAUAUGGCGAACCAAAACUAACAGCAUAUGAGAUGCAAAACCAACCAGGACCAAAUGUAAAGAUCUCUCAAAAGUAAAACAGCCAUUAUAAUCUUUACGUUUGGUAUUAUAAAUGUACUACAAGACAACAGCUUUAAAAUCCACUAUGAGGAAACAGCUAAUACUUCUUUAGAGAUAUAAAUAGUCCUAGUUACAAAUCUCACAUUCAUUAAAAUCAGAGACUCAAAGCACAAAUGAAACAUCAAAAAAGAUACCAGCUUCGCCUGUGUCAUGUAGAACAAAAUAACAAACAAAAUGAGCAGAAGAGAUUUUACCCAUGGCCAUAUGCAGGUGGAGCUUUAGGUGCUGUUUUUUCAGCCAUGGCAACGCUUAUCUUGUAGCCUCUCAUAUCAUAAUCUGUGAAAAAACAGUUGUAUAUAUCAAAUAAAUUUAGAAUAAACAAAUAAUAAAUAGCAAAUAGAAGGCAGCUCUCACUGUUAUAAAAUCCACCAGCUGAAUGCGCAGCAGAGGGAUCUUCAUAAGAAAGAACAGCAUCACCUUUAUUUUUUCCCAGGUCAUCAGUAUAUAUUUUAAUAUUCCAAGGCCACUGAUCCUUGUAGCCACGUUUCUGCUUAAUCCUUCCAACCUUUAAAAAAAAAGGUCUAGAACAGUUAAAUUCAGCAAAGGGGAAAAUAUUAAGCAAUUAAAAAACGGAUACAAAUUUCAGCACUACUAAUAAGCACACACAUAGCACUACAAGUAUUUAAGGUAAUCAGUUACCACAGUACCAACAUAAUUAAUAGCCGCCGCCGCCAACACCAUCACCACCACCAUAAAUUUCAAUAUGGUUUUGAUACAAGAACCAUGUUUAUUCUCAUAAGAGAGAACAACUUCUGACAAGAUAAACCACACUUUUACAGAAGAAUUAUGUACAAGCGGAUGAAGAGCUCCAUGUAAUUAUAGCAAAUCAGUGAUGACCUCCCGACCUACUACUUUUAGCAAUAACAACACAAUGACGCAUUUCCUACAACUCAUACUAUUGUCAAACAUAAUGUCAGAAUAGUAUGCAAUUCACAUAUUUCAUAAAAGGCUAAAUGCGCAUACACACAUACACAUACAUAUAUGUACGUAUGUACACAUAGAGAAUUUAUGAACUAAAUAAAGGACAAAUAAGAACUAAUUAAUACAUACAUACAUAUACAUAUGUAUGUAUGUAUAUAUAUAGAAUUUAUGAACUAAAUAAAGGACAAAUAAGAACUGAUACUUUUUUUUAAUUAAAAUGAGAAGUUUCAAUACCUGUCCAAUCCCACCAAAAAGCUCCUGCAGUUCCUCAGCAGUAACAUCAGGGGGCAAAUUCGAUAUGUAAAUCCUAGAAUUAUCACAUGUAUCCCCACAAUUAUCAUCACAUUGUUUAAUCUUUCCAGAGGCCUCAACAGGAGCACCACCACCAUAGCCUCCACCUCCCUGAUAAGGAGGCGCACCACUACCAUCACGAACAGGGACUGGCCGACCACCAUAGCCGCCAUCGUAGCCAACCGGUGCACCUCUGGACCCUAAAGGAGCAUCACCGCCAUAGGGGUUUGGUGGUGGAGCACCAUAACUAGGUGGAUAGGAACUCGGACCACCGAAACUUGGGUUAGGUGGCGGAACAGGGUCAACACCAUAUGAGUUAUUCCCACCAUAAGAAUUCGGAGGAGAUGAAUAGUUCCCAACAGAACCCCCAUACGAAGGAGGAGGAACCUGGGCAUAGCCAGUUUCUUCUCUGCCUGGGUUGGGAUAACCACCCUCUUCUCUACCCGGGGUAUUACCAUAACUCCCUCUUCCGCCAUACCCACCGUUACGGCCACCGCGGCUUCCAUCAUAGCCGCGAGAUCCACCACCGGACCCAAAAUUACCGCCGCCUCCACGAUUAUAAUCAUCACCGCCACCAGAACCAUAAUCUCCGCCACCACGAUUAUACCGUCCUCCACCUCCACCACCUCCCCUGUUAAACCCACCGCCACCGCCUCCUCCCCCACGGUUCGAACCACCACCGCCGUUAGGGCACGGAGCACCACACUUAUUGCAUUCGACUCUUCUUGCAAAGUUCAAGUUCCCGCAGCUUACCCAAGAAACAAGUUUUAUCAGACAAGAAGCACAACAAAAGAAACCCUAGAUCAAGAAAUCACAAGUACACAGUAAAUACCUCGAAUUAGGGCAAACCCAAUCCCCUUCCCGGCCACUUCCGGGACCGCGUCCGCCGCCUCGCCCACCUCCGCCUCCGCCUCCGCGACCCCCACGGUCGCCGCCAUGGUAGCCGCCGCCGCCGCCGCCGCCUACACAGAUCAAAGAAAUAGGUACAAAAUCCAGGCGAAAAUACACUAGAUCCGAGAACUAGGCUAAGCAAAAGGGAGAAAGGCCCCUUCGUACCUCGCUGUCCAUAUCCGCCACCGCCACCGCCACCGUAUCCUCCGCCGCCGCCGCCGCCGCCGCCGCCGCGCAUCGGGGGACCGGAGUCGCCCGCGCCGCCGGAACCGUACGCUCCCGACAUGGAACUAGGGUUUCGCUUCCCUCUUUCACUAGAGAGAGAGAGAGAAAGAGAGAGAGAGAGAGAGAGAGAAGAGUCGUUGAAUUAGGGCAAAUCCAAAUUGCACCGCCGAGAGAGAGGGUCGGUUCUUCGCCAGCAUUUAAAUAGUCGUGCGAACGUUGAUACGAAGGGGAGGUUGCGAAGAUCGCUAAUCGGACGGCUGUGAUGGCGCUGCCGCUACAGCUUUUAUUUACAAGUGUCAACGCGUCCAACACGAUCGAGCUAAAGCUCAAGCUUGGCUCAAAGUUAGGCUCGUUUUGUGAUCGAACCGAGCUCGAAUUAUUAUUAUUGUUAUUAUUAUUAUCCUAUUUAAUUUUGAGUCGUACUGGGAAAAUAGAAUAUUAGCAAAAUUACAUUAUUAAAAUUUCUAUUUAUUUAUGUGACCAUUGAUCAAAUACAUAAAAUUAACCACUUAAAUUGCAUGAUAAAAUAGUAAAACUGUAUGACGCCCCUCCAUGUUGAAGUGGACUCCUAAUAUUUUUCCUUUUAUAAUUGGUAUUUCUUUUUUUUAAAAAAUGUUUUAAUAAAUUAAGAAUUUCAUAUGAGAAAUUAACAAUGAACAUAUGCGGUAUAAGGGAUAUAAGCAAUGCAGCCAUAACCGAAAAAAUAUUAAAGCUUUUUUUUUUGGAAAAAUAAAAAAGCAAGCUGAAAAUUCCAAACAACAAAAGCUGAAAAUUCCGAACUGUCACGAGAUGAGCUUGUUUGCAUGCUUUUUUCUGGGACCUUUUUAUAGUAACCGUAUAAAAAUUUUUAAUUAAAUUUUUUUAAAAUUUUAUUUGACUAAUUAAUUNUAUUAUUAUCCUAUUUAAUUUUGAGUCGUACUGGGAAAAUAGAAUAUUAGCAAAAUUACAUUAUUAAAAAUUCUAUUUAUUUUUGUGACCAUUGAUCAAAUAUAUAAAAUUAACCACUUAAAUUGCAUGAUAAAAUAGUAAAACUGUAUGACGCCCCUCCAUGUUGAAGUGGACUCCUUUUAUAAUUGGUAUUUCUUUUUUAAAAAAAAAUGUUUUAAUAAAUUAAGGAUUUCAUAUGAGAAAUUAACAAUGAACAUAUGUGGUAUAAGGGAUAUAAGCAAUGCAGCCAUAACCGAAAAAAUAUUAAAGCUUUUUUUUUUGGAAAAAUAAAAAAGCAAGCUGAAAAUUCCAAACAACAAAAGCUGAAAAUUCCGAACUGUCACGAGAUGAGCUUGUUUGCAUGCUUUUUUCUGGGACCUUUUUAUAGUAACCGUAUAAAAAUUUUUAAUUAAUUUUUUUUAAAAUUUUAUUUGACUAAUUAAUUCUUUUUUAUAGAUUUAAUGUUAUAAUAAAUAAGAAUAAAAAAAUACGAUGAAUAAUUCACCAUUUUCAGAUUACUGUCUAGUUUUUAAAUGAAAUCUUGGAACUCAAGCUCCCAAACGCCACUACUAAAAGCUGUAGACGAGCUUGUAAUGGUAGAAACUUCGAUAUUAAUGGAGUUAGCCAAAGAAGUGUUAAUAGUAUAUUGGUAAUAAGAAGUAAUCUGAGCUUUCCACACAACCAAAAAGUCCCAAAAUUCAUGUUGGUAUACUAGACUCUUAUAUUCUAAUUUAUAAUUUACCACGAGAGAAGUUGUUCGAACGCUCAGGAGUCAGGAGUUUUUAUCUAGACAUCUUAAAAUAGAUUAGAAGAUGAGGGUUCCAUAGUGCAGCUACAGGUAACUUCAGAAAAAAUAGAGAGGAAAAAAUAAAAAUAAAAACUCGUCUCAUAAUUAUCCUCUCCAAAAUCAGAUAAUUAAUUAACAAUGAAAUAAAUCCACAUAUAUAUAUAUAUAUGGUCAACAAGGCUCAAACCAAUUCGACCAUAGUAAAAAUAUAUACACACACAGUGCAGGAGCUUUUUAGCUAAAAAGUGGAGGUCACAUGCACCUAAAGUUACAAAUUAAAAAAGAGAAAAAGAAAAAAACCGUAGAGUACAUUAUUUAAUUUCCAGAUGAAAUCAUACAAAAACAUAAGCCUAGUCUCCUUAGUCCUCAACGAUGGAAAUGAGAAGAGAAGCCUCAUCUGCUCCUGGGGCUUGUUCAUCUGUUUAAUUUACAGAGGAAUCAACAUUAAAUCAGUGUAAGCAUUUUAUAGCUAGAGUUAUCAACCUCAGAAAUUCGAUGAUGAAUUUUCACACAAAUGUUAGACUACUGCAAUGUAGAGUUUUACUGCACCAAAAAGCUAAAAUUAAAUUAUCUUUUAAGUAAAGGAAAAGAAAAAAAGAAAACUGUGUAACUGCAAGUAAGAUUCAUUAAAUAUGAUCUGUGCUAGGCACAUUAUUAGAUGUGUUAAUAUAAUAAUGCAUAAGUAGAAGAUCAUAAGGGUAAAAGAAAGAGACCUGAAAUAGGAAGAGAAGCAGGUAAAGUUGAGAGGAGGUGAUUAAUAACUCCACCACUAGAGGAUUCCUCUCCUCCUUUUAUCUUUUUACCACUUGGGGAUAUAGCUAUUGUUGCAUCCAAUUUGGAGACUAUAUGAUCUAUUAAUCCAUCACCACCACCAUUAUUGGGUUCCUCAUCCUCUUUUUGGUGGGUCUCUUCCAUGCUCUCUUUAACCUCUUCUUUUUUCUCCUCCAAACCAUGCGGAGAGAGGCUUGGAAUGUUGAUACUUAAGUUGGAGAUUAUGUGAUCUAUGAUCCCCUCUUCUUUUCCUCUUGUUGCUGUAUCCACACCCUCCUCUCUUUCUCCACCUGGGGAUUUCUCUCUCUUCUGUCCUUCCUCUUCUUCUUCUUCUUCUUCUGGAUUUAGAUUUGUUAGAGAGGUCAACCUCUCUCUCUCAUCAGCCACAUCUUCCAUGGUUUCUUCCUUCUUCUUCUUUUCUCUCUCUCUCUCUCUCUCUCUCCAGACUCUAUAAGUUGUACAUAUAUAUAUAUAUAUAUAUAUUUAUAUAGGAUACUAUCAUUAGCACUAAGGUAGUAUUUGAUUCGGGUAUAAGCAAGAAUUAACUAUUACAAAAAUAGAUACAAGUAUGGGAAUAAAAAAAAUAGCAUUUGGAUGAAAAUUGGAUUGUUCCGGAGAUUAAAAAAUAACGUUUGGAUAGAUAAUAUGGAAUAAGAAAAAUAGUGGAUAAUUAUAUAUAAAAAAUGAAAGUGUCAGUGGGAAUAGUUAUACCAACUUAUUUCAGAUAUUCGAGAACUAUUAUUUUCGAAUAAAAAAUUUGAUUUUCGAUAUAAAGGGGAUAACUUUCCCCCGUCCAAACGAUGCCUAAGGGGGUGCUCAGGUAAAAUUAGAUAAGCACCUAAAUGAUAUUCAAAAUUUAAAAUUUAUUUAUUAUUUUAUAUUUUAAUUUAAUUUAAUAUUUAAAAAUAGCACAAAAGGAAUAAUAUAAUUUUUUAUAUUAAAAGAAAAAAAAUGCACUAAGUAUAGAUCAAUUUGAAAUAGGGUCAAACGGUAUUAGUUUUUAAAUUUUUUAUUUAAAUCAUUACUUUAGUUAAAUUUUAAAAAUGCAGGAGAUUCAAUAGCAUUCUUUUUUUUCUGGGGUAAAUUUUUAGCGAUUAAAACUACUCGAUUCGCACGGAAAAAAAAAAAAAAAAAAAGCAAAAAGGACUAGCAAUUAAAAAAAAAAUAGAGACCAUGUUGAAAUAUCCUAUAGUUCGGUGGAUCUAUGUACGAUUUUACAAACCCCGUUAGGUGGACACGUGUUAAAAUAGGAUCAUGCUGCGUUCGCCCCGUUCCGUACCGCCUUGGAAUUUGUAGCCCACCCAGAAAGUAUAAUCUAGGAUGUAACGGUUAUAUAUCACGUUGGCUAAAUCUGACAUGUGGGCCCCACAAACGUUGUAGGGCCCACAUGUCAGCUUAAUUACCGUGUUGUUUGGUGUUACACGGGAGACCAUCUCGCUACGAAGGCGGUUCGGAUCUAAACGGAGAGUGCGGCUCAUCCGAGGCCGUUAGAUCUUACACGGACGGUGGAUCUCAGCUUUAAUGCAAUAUUUUGUGAAACCAUCUCGCUACAAAGGCGGUUCGGAUCUGAACGGAGAGAGCGGCUGAUCCGAGGCCGUUAGAUCUUACACGGACGGUUGAUCUCAGCUUUAAUGUAAUAUUUUAUGAAAAUAUAUGUAUGACAAACCCACAACUAUAGGGCUUUCUCAAACAGAUACUCUUUAACUUUUCUUUUUUCUUUUUUCUUUUUAUUGGUAGAUGGACUUUUUUUAAAAAUUGUCUAACCAUGCCUCAAAUUUAUGAGGCUCAAAUCCGAUCCACGACAAUAUAUCACAGGAACAAAUAUGAAUAUUACUGAACUUUAAUAAAAAUAAUAAUAUAAAAAAUUAAAUUUCAUAAAGAUAUACGUGUAAUGCGAUAUGUUUAUAGAGAUCUGUAUACAAUUAACUCUAGUAAAUAUUAUUUACUAAUGACUUAAUGGAAACAUCUUAAAAAGCAAAAUGAUCCAUGGGCCGAGCUGGACAAGCGGUCUCACUAAUAAACAAUCCAAUUUUGGGCUUUUAGGUUUUGAUAUGUCCAUCCCGAUCUUGGGCCGAAAAAUUUAUCUAUCCGAAAAAAGCAAUUUGAUUCGUAAUCGUAUAAAAAUGUAUUUUUACAAUGCUCACGAAAAGGACUAGUAGCGAUUUUUUAUUACGAUCUUCUCAAUAAUUAAUUUUUUAUAAUAGCAUAAGACACAAGGUAUAAAAUAAAAGCGUAUGUAUAUGAUAUCUCAAAAGCUCAUUCAAUUUUUUAAGCCUAGUAAAAAUUUUCAAAUUUUGUAUUCGAUAAAUAAUUGGUUUCUGAAAAUUUUUUUAAUUUCUAAUGUAGAGAAGCCGCUCUAGAAGCUCUAUCUAUAGAUCAUUAUUUUUUUUAAAAAAAAUUUAUAAAUGAGAUUUUAAUACUCAGAGGCCAUAGGCCCAACAUUCUCAUUUUUGGAUCCAUGGGCUUCUAAGUUACUGUUCUAGAGAAAUUUUGUUUACUCAAUGGAUAGCUACAACUGGGGAGAUGAAUUAUAAACAACUCACAUCCUAUUUUGUUCUUGUACAUUGACAAAUUUUGAUUCAUCAUCAAGGAUUUUGAGAGUGCUUAUUCUUGUUGGUUUAUUAACUUAUAAUAAAUUUCUUAAAGCCUAAGUACCCGUGCCUUUCUUUUAUUAUGUUUCCUCCGAAUCAAUACUCAUAACACUACUUUCUAUGAUUCUAUCAAAAAGAAAAAAAAAAAAAAGAAGAAAAAUUCUAUUCAUUCGAUUGAGCUAACUGUAUCGGACGUCCCGGAUAUAUCUUGCCACUAAUAAAAGGCGAAAUUGUCUCAUAUAUACUUAAAAUUUUUCUGCGCACACGAAACUGUAAAGAAAUAAUGCCUCAAACUAUUCGAGGUAAAGUUACUUCUGAUUCUCCCGCCCGACAAAGCAUUGUGCGAAAUCAAGAUUAAGCACUAUAUCUUUGUGCAUCUACUUUCACAUCAUAUCAUUACAUUAACAUCACCAUGGAAAAGAUAAUUUAAUCUCUUAUCUAUUCCCUGGUAUUUGACCAUUUGGUAUUGCUUAACUUGUUAACACACUUCUAUAUAUAGUUAAGGGAGUGAUUGACUAAAUUGCAAUUUCUGAGUUUUUGAAUAUCUCUAAUUCAUUGUAUAUAUAGUUUCAGUUAAUUUAUAUAGAAUAAACUAAUUUUGACUUUAAAAUAAGUGGGUGAUAAAUAUUAUAUAACUGGAUGGGUUGAGUAUUAUUACUCAAAAAUUAGUUAUUUGUUGGCGUAAAUCAUGCUAGGUAUAUAAUAUAUAUGGUGUAUUCAUAGUUUCAUACAGGAUUGUGAAGCUUCUAAAAGUAGGUAUCGUUCACCCACACUUGAUUAACUUAAUUAAUAGAAUUUAUUAAUAUUUUUACUUAGGCCAAUAAUGAAAAAACCGUGACACUUCUCCCACACAUAAAAAAAUAUUCCUAACCAUCAACAUACACACUCUAAUCAUUAAUUAAUUCUAAACAAAUAUUUAAUUUCUACCAAAGUUUAGCCACAUCUAUUUUAUUUAAAAAAUAUAUCGAGAGUAUAUGAGGCGAUCGGUUGUGACAUGAGUAUCAUUGUAAUUAAUUAAGUUUACAAUUAAUUGGUAAUUCUCACUAAAAUACUUAAUUAAAUAAUAAAUUUAGAUGUUUUGGUGUAAGUAAGCGAUUGUAACAUAAGUUGUGUGCAUUAAGUAUAAUUAAAAUAUUAGUUACGAAUUAAAUUAGAGGUUUUUAAUUAUGCGAGACAUAAGUUGUGAACUAACUUUAGGUAGCAGCAUUUUAAAUUAUUUUUUAAAAAAGAAAAUUAAAGAUGUGGAUCGUUCGACGCCUAUAUUUCAAAAUGGUGUUGCAAAUAUUCAACUCUUUUUCUCCUAUAUUUUGAGAAAUGGGUUGACCAUAUGCAUGAUUAAUUAACUACUAGGUAUUAAUUAAGUCAUAGUGUUGAGCUUUAAUUAGUUCAUUAUGAUCAUUUCUUGUCCUAUAUUAAUGAGUUUAAGGUCACAUAAAUGAAUCUCAUAAUAGAUAUCUCCAAUUAUAUAUGGACGGAAAAAUCUCAAUCAAUUUAUUAAAGUUUUAGCUUUUUAUGCUUUUUUUUUUUUAACCCUUCUUUAAUUUAUUGAAAUAAAGUGUUUAUUGAAAUAUCCCUUGUGUUGCAUAAAAUGAUUAUUCCUCGGCAAAAGUAAUUCCCUACACAUGUAAACCUUAGACUAUAUAGCAUCCCACUAAUAUAUUGGAUAAAUGCUCCUCCCAAUAUCAAUUGGUGAGUGAUGUAUAUAGUAAUUCCAAUAGCAGAAGCAAUCGAGAGAGAGAAGGAUAUAUAUACUUUAAUAUUGGUGAAUCCCUAGGUUAUUAUUAUAUAAAUAUAAGUAGAUUAGUUGAGAUAAAGAAGCAACUCCAUAGAGCAUAAUUAAACACAUCAUCUUUAAAUGACUACAACAGCAAUAGUUUAAUAUUCCAGCUGAUGUAACAUGCUUAGAAUACUUAAAUCUAGCUACCUCACUCAAUAUGCAUGAAUAUUUUGAUAUUCCUUUUGAUUUAUUAAAUUAUUUUGUAGUCCUUUCCUUGUUUUUCUUUUCUUUUUCUAAUGCGGCAUCUAAUGAUUCCUUCAUCUGGUGCUGCAACUCGGCUGAGAAUUGGCAUUUUAUUAACAUAAAAAUUAAGCUGAUUAAAAUUAUUUACUUUUUCUUAAAUAUUAUUUCAUGAUAUGCAAUAUUGUAAUAUAGUAUAGAAUAUAUAUAGAGUACGUCUCUUUUACUUUCGAAAGUACGGAGGUCUCCGUACUUAUAAGUUGUUUUCGAUGAUAGGAUAUCCGAUUCGACAAUCGGCUCCGUUAGAUAUAAUCUAUCAUAUUGGAACUAUCUAGAAAUCUAAUUUCAUACACUACAACAGAACUAGAUUAUAGGGACACAUGUUUGGGACACUUUUGAGUAAGUGUCCCAUUUAUGCUAAAACUUAAAAAAAUAUCUACUAAUGCCUAAAUAUAAAACCAAAUCCAACCAAAAAUAAAAGAUUACUCUACUCAACCCACCACACCCAGUCCAUUUGGCCCGAUUACAAACAGAAAAGAAAAAAAAAAGAAAAAUCAAUUACCAUAUUUUCUUCUCUCUUCACUCAAUCCACUAAAAUUCUAGACAAAGAGUCAUUCCUGUCAUCCUCCUUCGCCACCGCAGCCAACGAGAUAGAGUUUCGGCGGUUGCUAAAUGCUUAAAUAAAUUGUUGGUAAAUUAGCAGCACUCUUUUAGGUUAUAGCGACACUCUUUAACUGUCACUAUAUACCUAGCGACCCCACAUAUAGCAACAUUUUUAAAAGUGUCGGUAAUUUUAGCUAGCAACACUUUUUUGACAUGUAUCUACAUUUAAAAGUGUCGCUAUAGACCGUUUUUGUCGUAGUGAUAUUUUUUUGACAUCAUUUACCAAGUGAUCAAAAGAUCUCAAAAUCGACUAUUUUAAUGGUCGAUGUGGCAUGUUUUGAAGUUCAAUUGUGUAGAACAAUCCAAAUUACAUAAAACAUGAAAAGAAAAUUCUACUUAAUAUCAAUAGCAAGAUCAAUACUUGUGAAUUGAAAUUUGAGUAUUUUAUCACUAUUUUUUAUGAAAUUUUUAUUUUCAGCCGUUCAUUUUUAGACUACUCAUUCACUAGACAAAUAAAGUCAAAAAAUUAUGAAAUUUGGUUUCUAAAUAGUUCCAAUAGCAUAGAUCAUAUUUAACGGAACCGAUCACCGAAUCAAAUAUACCAUCAUUGAAAAUAACCUAUAAGUACGGAGGCCUCCAUACUUACGAAAAUAUAGGAGCCUCUCUCUCUCUCUCUCUCUCUCUCUCUCUCUCUCUCUAUAUAUAUAUAUAUAUAUAUUAUGACCUAAUGUGUUUAUUAAGAGAUUACCUCAUACAUGAUUGGAUAACAAAAUAAUGAUCUUUCAUUUUUUUUGGGAAUUUUACUUCACACUUAAAAUGUGAGAAAUGCUUUUUUUUUUUUUUAAGAGAGAAAGAUAGGCUUGCUAUCUGUUUCGUUCAUAGCGAAUAUGAACUGAGUUAUAGAGACAGGAUAACUGGUCCCCGAGAAUUAGAAAUGUCCUAAAAAUAUGAAAAAUGUUGAAGUUCCACAUGUUAUCAAAAUAGAAUAUUGUAUGUUCAAAUCACAUGUACAAAACCACAUUUUGAGGUUAAAUGUGAGGAGUGUUGAGAUCUAAGUUUUAGUUCCUUGAGGUUUAGCCCAUGCUUAGGUUAUUAAACAAAAAGAAAAGGGAGAGAAUCUUGGGAAAAAAUACCUAAAUGGAGCUAUCCUUUACCUUGAAUAAGAUCGGCCGAGAUCUUAGUAGGUCCCAGUAUCACUUAAUUAAACAGUAGAGGAACUUGAUGUUAUUAACAACUCAACAUAUUACCAAGAGAAUAAUCCAAAUCCAAAAGUUGUUACCUAGUUUUCUAGUUCUAUAUAUGUAUAUUCAACAAUUUUCACAUGCACAUGCAUGCUUAUCUAUAUAAGAGAAAUCGAAAGAACAAAAGAUCGAUAACUUAUUUUCAUGGCAUUAAUAUUUUGAAUUAACACUAGAUAGCUUUUAUUCCGACGCAAAUGUAAUACAACAAAUUAGAGCACCAUGAACUUAGGUCAACAUCAAUAUUAAUAAUUUUAAAGCCAAAGUGCUUUUGAAAAUACUGCUAAACAGAAUAAUCAAGCAACUCAUAGAAGGAGUUGAAAUAUAUAUAGAUUCGACUGAAAUAGAAAUUAAACAUCGAUACAUCCGUCGCAUACUGUUGAAAUUUAAUAAUUUAAACCAAAGUUUGCAACAAGACCAAAGUAACUAAUAAUGCAAAUUAAUUAAAUAACCCACCCUUGAUGUUAAUUUCUUGUGUGAUGGAGGAUCCCAGCAGGAUCACAAAGGGGGCCACAUCACAUGUAAGGAAUUAAGGUUAUUAUUAUAGUGGAUUGAUGUGGUGGUGGUGUCUUGCUUAGAUGCAAAUGAGAUUAGAUUAUUAUAAUAUUUAAGUACAUAUAUAUAGAUAUAUUUACAUAUAUAAUAAAUAUAUAAGGGGUCUUUUCAAUUGAAAGGUCUUCCUCAACGCAUUGUGGGAUAGUUUAGACAAGCGCAGAUGUGCUCUCCUUUUCAUCUAAAUUAUCUUAUUUAAAGAGGGAGAGCCACCAACAAAUUCAUACAUUUUAAUUAACCUCCUUUAAAUUAAAUUCAUUACCAACCUAGGAGGUUUAAUUUCCAUGUAAUUAUGAUGGGGUGCUUUGGCAAUAAAUUGCACUAUUUGUCACUAAAAUAUGCCUGAUAUUUCAUUUUAAUUUUUAAAUUACUCACAAAAUCUGUUAGUUACGUGCCAGCGAAAUAUUUUUUACAUGAAAAUGCUAAAAUAGUCACUGUCUGAGAAUGUAUAAAAAUGCAACUGACCUAAUAUAUUACGAUUUUUGUCAUGGUCAAAUCUUUCUUCACUCAUAAUUAAUAAGUAUAGAAAAUAAUUACGUGGCAUGUCAUAUUUCAUUUUAUUGUCAUGGGAGACAUGAUAGGGCUAAGGUUAAAAUAAUAUUGAUUGUUUAAUCUCUGGAAUGCAUGUAUGUUGAACUUUGGGGAUCAAAAUGAAGUGUGAGCUAGUAAUAGUUUUUCAUUUUUAGAGAAAAUUAGCUAGUAAUACUUAGAGACAUUGAGGUAAUCGACUCAUAAUAUAAUUAAUAUUACAUAAUAGAUAAUCAAAUAAUUAUAUUCAGAUAUGAAUUGAAUUUAAAUAUACUGAUCACUCAGUUGAUCGGCUUGUUUCGACCUGCUUCUAUAAUAAUAUUUUUAUUUUCAAAAAAAUUGAAGAUCUAGAAUUUUUGACGUGAGAGAAAACAAAGUAAGUUUUUUAGAAUUUAGAAGUACUAGAAACCUAAACUUAUUUUUAUUU